rnacentral:rRNA from 1 species
GACGAACGCUGGCGGCGUGCUUAACACAUGCAAGUCGAACGAAGAGCGAUGGAAGCUUGCUUCUAUCAAUCUUAGUGGCGAACGGGUGAGUAACGCGUAAUCAACCUGCCCUUCAGAGGGGGACAACAGUUGGAAACGACUGCUAAUACCGCAUACGAUCCAAUCUCGGCAUCGGGACUGGAUGAAAGGUGGCCUCUAUUUAUAAGCUAUCACUGAAGGAGGGGAUUGCGUCUGAUUAGCUAGUUGGAGGGGUAACGGCCCACCAAGGCGAUGAUCAGUAGCCGGUCUGAGAGGAUGAACGGCCACAUUGGGACUGAGACACGGCCCAGACUCCUACGGGAGGCAGCAGUGGGGAAUCUUCCGCAAUGGACGAAAGUCUGACGGAGCAACGCCGCGUGAGUGAUGACGGCCUUCGGGUUGUAAAGCUCUGUUAAUCGGGACGAAUGGUUCUUGUGCGAAUAGGGCGAGGAUUUGACGGUACCGGAAGAGAAAGCCACGGCUAACUACGUG